UGGAUGGAUGGAUGGAUUAAACAUAGAUCUGUACGUGCCUUAUCAGUCUGAAAGUACAUUUUUGGGACACAUUUGAUACUGCCAGUACUGCAUUCUGUUACAUCAGGCUGGCCUCUCAUAAGAAUUGAUUAGGCUGAGUGUGUACUUUUAUGGGUUUUUUGUAGUAGAACAAGCAACCUAAAUAAUUUCCUAUAAAAAUUUGCUGGUACUUUGCUAUAAUGGAAAUUGCAGUAUUGUGGUUCUGACCAACUCUGUGUGGGAUAACGCUGAUGUUAAAAGGGCACCUGCCCCCUCUGUCUGCCUGCCUGUGCGGCUUGCAUGGAUGUGCCCUGCAAUGAACUGGCCGUUGUAGGCUGGUAGAGGAUGGAUGGAUGGAAAGACACUAUUUUAUGCUGGAUGUAAAGGAACAACCCAGGAGCCCCUUGUUGGGGGGGGGGCUGGCUUCUGCUGCUGUGUGUACUGUCCAGGUGCGUGUCAGACCAUGUGGCCACCAACUUGUAAAUCUUUAAAUUAGCUGAACAGUAUUGACUGGGGUGGGGGACAGGGAGAUUGGAGUGGUUGGAGAGGGGCAGACUUUACCUUUCAGGUAUUGAUAGGUGCAUAUGUGGUAUGUGAUAGGUGCAUAUGUGGUAUGUGAUAGGUGCAUAUGUGGUAUGUAAUAGGUGCAUAUGUGGUAUGUGGUAGGUGCAUAUGUGGUAUGUAAUAGGUGCAUAUGUGGUAUGUGGUAGGUGCAUAUGUGGUAUCUGAUAGGUGCAUAUGUGGUAUGUAAUAGGUGCAUAUGUGAUAGGUGCAUAUGUGGUAUGUGAUAGGUGCAUAUGUGGUAUGUAAUAGGUGCAUAUGUGAUAGGUGCAUAUGUGGUAUGUGAUAGGUGCAUAUGUGGUAUGUAAUAGGUGCAUAUGUGGUAUGUAAUAGGUGCAUAUGUGGUAUGUAAUAGGUGCAUAUGUGGUAUGUGGUAGGUGCAUAUGUGGUAUCUGAUAGGUGCAUAUGUGGUAUGUAAUAGGUGCAUAUGUGAUAGGUGCAUAUGUGGUAUGUGAUAGGUGCAUAUGUGGUAUGUAAUAGGUGCAUAUGUGGUAUGUGAUAGGUGCAUAUGUGGUAUCUGAUAGGUGCAUAUGUGGUAUGUAAUAGGUGCAUAUGUGGUAUCUGAUAGGUGCAUAUGUGGUAUGUGAUAGGUGCAUAUGUGGUAUGUGCAUAUGUGGUAUGUGAUAGGUGCAUAUGUGGUAUGUGGUAGGUGCAUAUGUGGUAGGUGCAUAUGUGGUAGGUGCAUAUGUGGUAUGUGGUAGGUGCAUAUGUGGUAUGUGGUAGGUGCAUAUGUGGUAUGUGGUAGGUGCAUAUGUGGUAUGUGGUAGGUGCAUAUGUGGUAUGUGAUAGGUGCAUAUGUGGUAUGUGGUAGGUGCAUAUGUGGUAUGUGGUAGGUGCAUAUGUGGUAUGUGAUAGGUGCAUAUGUGGUAUGUGAUAGGUGCAUAUGUGGUAGGUGCAUAGGAUAGGGCCAGACCGGAGUUACCUGGGACAAAAACACUUUUAUUUACACAGAAGUCCUACUAUCUUAGUUAUUUAAAGAAACAAAGUAAUACUAACCCAGCCCCCCUACCAAAAAAAAAACCAGGAAAAAACAAUGAUAAACUUUACCUUGAGUCUGCCACUGUAAUAUUUUUAUGCAUCACUUAUUAGGAAUGUGAUCGUUGUUAUCCCAGGUUCACCUGGGCUCCUCUUACCACAUCUUUCUGUUCUUAUUGCACGCGUUCAUGCUGCUAGGAUGCAAACUACAAUCAUAUAUUUAUUUCAAAGAAAAACAGGGCAUCCCUUAGCCCGCUGCAUCCAGAGGGUCCAUCGCGCCUCUCAGCCCACUGCUGUCUGCUGGGAGGGUCUGCGGCCACGACAAUCAGGCUUAAAAGCAGUUUAUUUCUCAGUUUAUUUGACUGCUGAAUAGUCUGUAUUUAAAUUCUCUUUAUUACUUAUUUUCAUUUGCACUACGACCAACCUCAUACAUCACAUAUCUGAAGCUCACAAUAAAAGACACUUUGACUGUUACUGUAUGUAGGAUAGUUAAAAUUCUUGCACAAAUUCGGAAUCUCGGAAUAUUGGACCUUAAGCCUAAAGGAAUGCAUGUCCCAUGGGACUUGAUCAUGGGGAAUUUGGAUCCCGACAAUUCCGGAAAUAGUUUAAUAAUAAAUUCCCAGAGGUCCCACUGGACUGGACAGAUCAUAUGGAAUAUGGAUUUCCUGCUGGUAGACAUCCUUCUUGGGGCUUGGCGGGGAUGUAGUUUAACUUGCAA